AUUGAACGCUGGCGGCAGGCCUAACACAUGCAAGUCGAGCGGAUGAAGGUAGCUUGCUCCUGGAUUCAGCGGCUGACGGGUGAGUAAUGCCUAUGAAUCUGCCUGGUAGUGGGGGAUAACGUCCGUAAACGGGCGCUAAUACCGCAUACGUCCUGAGGGAGCAAGUGGGGGAUCUUCGGACCUCACUCUAUCAGAUGAUCCUAGGUCGGAUUAGCUAGUUGGUGGGGUAAAGGCCUACCAAGGCGACGAUCCGUAACUGGUCUGCGAGGAUGAUCAGUGACACUGGAACUGAGACAAGGUCCAGACUCCUACGGGAGGCAGCAGUGGGGAAUAUUGGAAAAUGGGAGAAAGCAUGAUCCAGCCAUGCCGCGUGUGUGAAGAAGGUCUUCGGAUUGUAAAGCACUUUAAGUUGGGAGGAAGGGCAGUAAGUUAAUACCUUGCUGUUUUGACGGUACCAACAGAAUAAGCACCGGCUAACUUCGUG
rnacentral:rRNA from 1 species